GACGGAGGAGGCUAGCGUUGUCCGGAUUGACUGGGCGUAAAGCGCGUGUAGGUGGGACCUUAAGUCGGCGGUGAAAGCCCCUGGCUCAACCAGGGAAUGGCCGCCGAAACUGAGGUUCUUGAGGGCAGGAGAGGAGAGUGGAAUUGCUGGUGUAGCGGUGAAAUGCGUAGAUAUCAGCAAGAACACCCGUGGCGAAGGCGACUCUCUGGACUGCUCCUGACACUGAGACGCGAAAGCCAGGGGAG
rnacentral:rRNA from 1 species